GACGAACGCUGGCGGCGUGCUUAACACAUGCAAGUCGAACGGAAAGGCCCUGCUUUUGUGGGGUGCUCGAGUGGCGAACGGGUGAGUAACACGUGAGUAACCUGCCCUUGACUUUGGGAUAACUUCAGGAAACUGGGGCUAAUACCGGAUAGGAGCUCCUGCUGCAUGGUGGGGGUUGGAAAGUUUCGGCGGUUGGGGAUGGACUCGCGGCUUAUCAGCUUGUUGGUGGGGUAGUGGCUUACCAAGGCUUUGACGGGUAGCCGGCCUGAGAGGGUGACCGGCGACAUUGGGACUGAGAUACGGACCAGACUGCUACGGGAGGCAGCAGUGGGGAAUAUUGCACAAUGGGCGGAAGCCUGAUGCAGCAACGCCGCGUGCGGGAUGACGGCCUUCGGGUUGUAAACCGCUUUCGCCUGUGACGAAGCGUGAGUGACGGUAAUGGGUAAAGAAGCACCGGCUAACUACGUG
rnacentral:rRNA from 1 species